rnacentral:rRNA from 1 species
GGUGAACGCUGGCGGCGUGCUUAACACAUGCAAGUCGAACGAGAACGGGUUAUAGCUUGCUAUAAUUGUCAGCUAAGUGGCGCACGGGUGAGUAAUGUAUAGGUAAUAUGCCUCUUACUAAGGGGUAACAAAUGGAAACGUUUGCUAAUACCUUAUACUCCUUAUUAACAUAAGUUAAUAAGGGAAAGAUUUAUUGGUAAGAGAUUAGCCUGUAUUGUAUCAGUUAGUUGGUGGGGUAAUGGCUUACCAAGACUAUGACACAUAACUGGUUUGAGAGGAUGAUCAGUCACACUGGAACUGAGACACGGUCCAGACUCCUACGGGAGGCGGCAGUGGGGAAUAUUGCACAAUGGACGAAAGUCUGAUGCAGCAACGCCGCGUGGAGGAUGACACAUUUCGGUGCGUAAACUCCUUUUAUAUGAGAAGAUAAUGACGGUAUUAUAUGAAUAAGCACCGGCUAACUCCGUGCCAGCCGCCGCGGUAA